AGGCGCAUCUGCGCAGGCGCCCGGCUCCUAAGUCUACCCAGGAACUGACCCUGCUCUCUCUUUUCCCUGUUAGACAUGGGCACUCCACAGAAGGAUGUUAUUAUCAAGUCAGAUGCACCGGACACUUUGUUAUUGGAGAAACAUGCAGAUUAUAUCGCAUCCUAUGGCUCAAAGAAAGAUGAUUAUGUAUGUAUAAUUUUUUUAUGUUGGAAAGUUUAUUUUAAAGAAGUGUGACAGUCAUAAGCAGUGAGACAGUAUAUUUUAUGUCUUAAAAUGGCAUCCAACUCCAUGCAGAGAACUGAGGAUGUGCUGUGCCUUUGAACUUCAGUUAAGUGUGCUUUGGACGUCUGAGGCUGUGGGCUUAUUAGAAUCGCAGUUUUUACCUAUACUGAGAGGGCUUGCCAGACAAAGUAGAUGAGGGUUUGAGGUACAAAACGGGUUUCUCUUUUUGUAGUUAGGGGUAAUACUUUCAAGGUCAAUGAUGUGUUGGCAUGUAUUAUCUGAAUCUAUUGCUGAUGUGUAAUAACACUUUAGCUCUAGAAUUACUCUGAGACCUUGAAAAAGUUUUACCUUAAAUUUUUAAAUUUCGAGGAAAACUCUGGGACAAUCUUAGCAAAAAGUAGUAAACAACUUAGUUAAGAGUAAAUGUUUUUCCCUGUAGUAUCCAAACUCAGUUGUCUUAGUCUACCGAUUUGUGGGAUAUAUGGUAUGUAUUAAUUUUUUACUUAAGUGUUAGGUUCCCAUAACCUUGAAAAUACUCUAGUAGCAAUCGUGGAGUUAAGGUCAUAUGGAUGGGGCUGGACUCGUUUCUGCCUUUAUCUGCUAUCUAUCUUUAUGCCCUGAAUUUGGGUUAGUAGCAAACUAAGAUGCACCACCUGUUAAAAAACUUCUUUUUUUCCUUUUGAGAGCUAUAACCUCACUUUGUUGCCCAGACUGGAGGACAGCGGUGCGAUCUGGGCUCACUGCAGCCUCCAUCUCCUGGGUUUAAGUGAGCCACCUGAAUAGCUGGGAUUACAGGCACAUUCAACCAUGCCCAGCUAGUUUUUGUAUUUUUCGUAGAGACUGAGUUUUGCUAUGUUGGCCAGAGUGGUCUCAAACUCCUGACCUCAAGUGAUCUGCCUGCCCCAGCUUUCCAAAGUGCUGGGAUUACAGGCAGGAGCCACCACCCAGCCACAAAACUUCUUAAAAUAUAAUGCAUUGUUGAGUGUGGGAAAAAUUUGUUUCUGGAAUCCUAAUACUAAUUUUCAUGUAUCAUUGAUUAGCCACUGUUUUAUCUGGGCUUAAACAUCUUUGGCAUGUUUAGGGCAUUUUGAUUUUUCAUGUAGUUAUAUAAUUUACUAAUAGAUAAUAGGUUUUGUACAGAGUCCACAUUAAAAUAGAUGUCUGAUAAAUAUGGUAUAGGUACUUGGAAAGAAAUACUCUCCCUGAACUUCACUGAUGAAAAAGGUAGAUGUUUUUCUGUCUCUGGCUCAUGGGAGAAACUAAAGCACUGUUUGUAUUGUCAGCCAUAGAUUAACUAAUCCUGUGCUUCUCAGAUAAUUGUUUUUUUCUGAUAAUAGUUGUGUCUGAAGAUGGCUUCUAACAUUGAGCAGCACAGAUUUUAAACUCACUACUGAUCAGUGCUGUUAAGGUCAGGAGAGGUAAAAAUAGCAGAAUGGCUAAUGAGUUACCUUUGUGUUUAAUCUCUUUAUAACUUGUUACCAGUUCAAAUGACAGAUUUAAGAAAUUGUGUAUUAUUUUAGGAAUACUGUAUGUCUGAGUAUUUGAGAAUGAGUGGCAUCUAUUGGGGUCUGACAGUAAUGGAUCUCAUGGGACAACUUCAUCGCAUGAAUAGAGAAGAGAUUCUGGCAUUUAUUAAGUCUUGCCAACAUGAAUGUGGUGGAAUAAGUGCUAGUAUCGGACAUGAUCCUCAUCUUUUAUACACUCUUAGUGCUGUCCAGGUAAAUACUAAUCAAAAUUGCAACGAUCUUGAUAGUAUGUUCUCUUACUUCAGAGUUGGAAAUUGAAACUGUGUCAGGAUUUGGUCAAAAAGUUUUGUUACAAGUGAAGCUGUCCUACAAGGUCAAUGAUGUAAUGGCAUGUAUUAGCUGAAUCUAAAGUUGAUGUGAGUUCUAAAAUUACACUGAGACCUUGGAGGGUGAAAUUUUUAUCUUCAGUAUGUGUAAAUACUGUAAAAUAGCUAAAUGGAGCUAUUUGAUUUUGAUAUUAGUGAACAUCUACCUGGUGGUUUAAAGUCUUUCUGGUACUGGGUGCUGAGAUGGGAAGAUCAGGACUUUGUGUGUAUGUGAGUUAGUAUACUUGAGUAUCUUGGAAUGCCAAGUUAAAAUUUAUAUGUAGAAAAUUAUACUUUAAAGAUUUGAGUUUUCUUGAUACUAUCUAAUUUUAUUCAAUAACAGGAGAGUCUGCAUAUUUGAGAAAAGGUUAUACACAGAGACAAAAGGAUGUGCCUGACAACUUAAAAAGAGUUGAGCAUAAGAUCAUUAGAAUAAACCUGAAAGGGACAUUUACCUAAUACUUGUCUUUAUUGCAGAUUCUUACGCUGUAUGACAGUAUUAAUGUUAUUGACGUAAAUAAAGUUGUGGAAUAUGUUAAAGGUCUACAGAAAGAAGAUGGUUCUUUUGCUGGAGAUAUUUGGGGUAAUGUCAGAUUUAGUCCAUUCUACCCAAAAUACCAAUAUUAAAAUGUAGUGGUUUUGCUAGUAACCAGUUUAUAAGUUUUUCAUCUUUUCAGGUCCCACUAAGCAGCUGGUCUAACUGGAGUUAAUGGUCUGCUGGAACUUCCAGCAUGCACUGUGGUAGUUAUAUCAGCAUAUACAGGAGCACUGGAACAGAGGGGGCCAGUCUAAAAGAUAAGGUAGGUGGAAUUUUUUUCCCCAAUAUUUGGUGGCUUUGUAAAGUUUUUUAAAAACUACUUGCUGGAAAGGGAAAAAUAUUUAAAAAAAAAACUUUACAAACUUGCUGAAUAUUUGAGUGGAGGGAGGGAAUAGAAUUUUAUUUGAUAAACGUAGAUAAUCUCUGCUUUAGGGAUGAACACAGUGCAGGCCAGAGAGACCAGCUGCUUCAUGGGAUGUGAAAAAUCUACUUUUAUAAAGUAGGGAGAAAUUGACACAAGAUUCUCUUUUUGUGCGGUGGCAACUUUGGCUUUGUUGGGGAAGCUUGAUGCUAUUAAUGUGGAAAAGGCAAUCGAAUUUGUUUUAUCCUGUAUGAACUUUGACGGUGGAUUUGGUUGCAGACCAGGUUCUGAAUCCCAUGCUGGGCAGAUCUAUUGUUGCACAGGAUUUCUGGCUAUUACAAGUCAGUUGCAUCAAGUAAAUUCUGAUUUACUUGGCUGGUGGCUUUGUGAACGACAGUUACCCUCAGGCGGGCUCAAUGGAAGGCCGGAGAAGUUACCAGAUGUAUGCUACUCAUGGUGGGUCCUGGCUUCCCUAAAAAUAAUUGGAAGACUUCAUUGGAUUGAUAGAGAGAAACUGCGUAAUUUCAUUUUAGCAUGUCAAGAUGAAGAAACGGGGGGAUUUGCAGACAGGCCAGGAGAUAUGGUGGAUCCUUUUCAUACCUUAUUUGGAAUUGCUGGAUUGUCACUUUUGGGAGAAGAACAGAUUAAACCUGUUAAUCCUGUCUUUUGCAUGCCUGAAGAAGUGCUUCAGAGAGUGAAUGUUCAGCCUGAGCUAGUGAGCUAGAUUCAUUGAAUUGAAAGUUGCAUAGUAUAGUUUUGCCAUUUUAACAUUUCUGUAUUUGAAGUGCUUAUCGAAUCUAAAAGUGACUACUGUUAAUAUUUUGUAUAUUGUGUUAAAUUAAUUUUAAUAAAUUAUAUAAUUAUACAUAUUGUAAAAUAAAGACCGGUAUUUUAUUUUCUGCUUUUU
rnacentral:sRNA from 1 species